GUGCUCACUUUAGCAGCACAUAUACUAAAACUGGAAUGAUUACAGAGGAGAUUAACAUGGCCCCGUGCAGGUAUGACAGACAAAUCUGUGAAGCGCUCUGUACUGUU
ensembl:snRNA U6 U6 spliceosomal RNA